AUGAAUCAGAGCCUCAUUCUUAUGGCAGCUUGGAGGAUUGCUGAUCAACCAAAUGAUUUCUUACAUGCUGUACUCAAAUCCAAAUACUUCCCAGACUCUUCCAUUUGGCGCCCAAAUUCAAAUGCUCCCAAAUCAGCCUUUUGGGCCUUCAUUAUCAAGGUUCUUCCCAUUCUUAAAGCUCACUGCUUUUACCAAAUCACCCAAGGCUGCAUCUCAAUUUGGAGUACACCAUGGUGCCAAAAUUGGACCCACAUCUAUGAAGCACUCAUAAUUCAACCUGGAGUUUUUUCUUACCCAACCCAAGUUAAGGAUCUUUGGAUUCCAAAUCAGAAAGCAUGGGACAAUCAGCUAAUUCACACACUGUUCCAACAGCCCAUGGCUUCCAUUAUCAAGAGCACAGACAUUAUUCAAUCUCAAGAGAAAGACAUCCUCUGUUGGAAAUUAAUGCCGUCGGGUAAAUGCAAUUCUAAAAGUGCAUACCGUGCAUGUCUUCAAUAUUUGUAG
rnacentral:rRNA from 1 species